rnacentral:rRNA from 1 species
AGUGAACGCUGGCGGUAGGCCUAACACAUGCAAGUCGAACGGCAGCACAGUAAGAGCUUGCUCUUACGGGUGGCGAGUGGCGGACGGGUGAGGAAUACAUCGGAAUCUACUUUUUCGUGGGGGAUAACGUAGGGAAACUUACGCUAAUACCGCAUACGACCUACGGGUGAAAGCAGGGGAUCUUCGGACCUUGCGCGAUUGAAUGAGCCGAUGUCGGAUUAGCUAGUUGGCGGGGUAAAGGCCCACCGAGGCGACGAUCCGUAGCUGGUCUGAGAGGAUGAUCAGCCACACUGGAACGGAGACACGGUCCAGACUCCUACGGGAGGCAGCAGUGGGGAAUAUUGGACAAUGGGCGCAAGCCUGAUCCAGCCAUACCGCGUGGGUGAAGAAGGCCUUCGGGUUGUAAAGCCCUUUUGUUGGGAAAGAAAAGCAGCAGGUUAAUACCCCGCUGUUCUGACGGUACCCAAAGAAUAAGCACCGGCUAACUUCGUG